rnacentral:misc_RNA from 1 species
ACAGAAGAAGAAACCACGUGCAAAUAAUGAGCUAUAAAGAGUCGGCUAUUUUGUGGCUGUUGGCCCUGCAUUGCUGCAUAUCGUAUGGCGCAGCCAUACAGUGCUUUGUGUGCGAUUCGAGCGACAAUCCCAGUUGUGCCGAUCUGGGUUCCAAUUCGAGCAUUGUGCCGGAGACCUGCACUUUGGACAAAAUGAAGUCACUGGACACCUGGCUGUUUGAUCUGAACAAGUUCUCCUACUUCGAUAAUGGGGCCAACAAGAAUCCGCUAAUGAAUUGCCAAAAAGUUGUGGCCAGAGAUCCUGACACCAGAAAGAUCGUAACGGCUCGCUUUUGCCAGCUGGACACUGGAGACUCGGAUGCCUGUGAGAUUCUACGAAGCAAGCUGCGUAUCACCAAUGCGGGCGACAGCAGUCGCGAUCAGGGCCGGCGGGAUCGGGACCAACAGCAGCGUCGCAAGGGCCAGCAGGGCUAUGGCUAUGGCCAGGAAUCGGCCGAUAAUGACGAGGAAUCGGAGGAGGAUACCUUCUUCUGUGACAUUUGCAGAUCGGAUCGGUGCAACGGGGCCGCGGCAGUGACGUUGACUUUGGGUUCGGUGGCGGCAAUCCUUUUGGUAAACCUAAUGCCAGGACUAAUACACUGUUGAAGGAGGUGUUGGUGGAUGUAUGGGUGGCUUAUUGGUAGCGUUGGUUGCAUUUAGGUUGAGUUACCGUUAGCGUUACCUUUACCGUUGCCGUUACCGUUUACUUUGUAAAUAUUUGAGUGCAAUGUCGUUGAUUUGAACAAGCCCUUUCAAUGGCACUCGCCCUCGUCUCCCCCAUCUACAGACCCACGCCUGACCCUGCCCCACCUCUCUCUUUACCUCUCUCCAACCCCUAGCCAUGUAAGCACACACACACACACAAUCACACACUUUCCAAUACACCGAUACAAUCCCACAAACACAGAUACAGACACAAACUCGACAACCUCAAAGAGAGAAAAGCUCAUUCGCUUUUAUUCCAAACAAAUAUGAAAACUUUCAAUUACCAGGAGAUGAGAUGUUGAUGGAAGGGAAAAUGGACCUCUAAGGGAUAUUCUUAUCCAAAUAUGUACUACAUACGAUCCCAUAUAUCCCAUAUAUAUCAAGGAUGGAGGACCUGUUCCAUUAGCUCUUAUUGUAGCUUUAUUAUAUGUUGAUUGUUAUAUUGAUAAUUGUUAGGGAAGAUGAGUAUAAGAAUUCACCGAUUGCCUUUAAUUUUCAUAUUCAUAGCAAGCAAUAUAGAUGGGAAUUAUAAACAUUAAUACAUGUAUUAAUAUGUAUUCUUAGAAUUUAUGGAUUCGUUUCAUAAUGAAAUUCCUUCAAUGCAAAAACCGCACGCAGAAACAAUCAACAAACAAAUAUUAUACAACCAAAAAUAUGCGAAUUUAACAAACAAAAAUAUGCAAUAAAUGCAACUAAAUGUUCAAUUAGAAAUCAAGCAAAAAGAAGUAUAAAACCCAAAAGCAAUGCAAUAUAUGAUACGAUAUAUAUACAUAAAUGUAAACUGUAAAUCUGUCAAGGGAUGAGCACUGAGAUAUAGCUUAGAUAUGCCUACCAGCCACGCCCACAACACACACUCUGAUUUUUAGUCAAGCAAUCAAUUCUGUUUAGUUCAUAAGCGAAUUCUCGAGUGGAACUAAGAUCGAACAAAAAUACUUAGCGAGCACACGAAUAAAUGCUGUAUGACAGUAUAA